UACAGGGGGGGCAAGCGUUGUUCGGAAUUACUGGGCGUAAAGGGUCAGUAGGCGGCCAACUAAGUCCGACGUGAAAUCCCAAAGCUUAACUUUGGAACUGCGUCGGAUACUGGAUGGCUUGAAUUCGGGAGAGGGAUGCAGAAUUCCAGGUGUAGCGGUGAAAUGCGUAGAGAUCGGGAAGAACACCCGUGGCGAAGGCGGUGUGCUGGGUUGCAACUGACGCUGAGAUGCGAAAGUGUGGGGAGCAAACGGG
rnacentral:rRNA from 1 species